rnacentral:rRNA from 1 species
AAUGAACGCUGGCGGCAUGCCUUACACAUGCAAGUCGAACGGCAGCAUGACCUAGCUUGCUAGGUUGAUGGCGAGUGGCGAACGGGUGAGUAAUGCAUCGGAACGUGCCUUUUAGUGGGGGAUAACGUAGCGAAAGUUACGCUAAUACCGCAUAUUCUCUGAGGAGGAAAGCAGGGGACCUUCGGGCCUUUCGCUAGAAGAGCGGCCGAUGUCGGAUUAGCUAGUUGGUGAGGUAAAGGCUCACCAAGGCAACGAUCCGUAGCGGGUCUGAGAGGAUGAUCCGCCACACUGGGACUGAGAAACGGCCCAGACUCCUACGGGAGGCAGCAGUGGGGAAUUUUGGACAAUGGGCGCAAGCCUGAUCCAGCCAUGCCGCGUGAGUGAAGAAGGCCUUCGGGUUGUAAAGCUCUUUCGGAUGGGAAGAAAUCGCACCCUCUAAUACAGGGUGUGGAUGACGGUACCAGCAUAAGAAGCACCGGCUAACUACGUG